CCUGGGACACCAGGUGGGUGAUUCCCCUCUAGUCAGGGCCUGAUUUAGACCUGGGACACCAGGUGGGUGAUUCCCCUCUAGUCAGGGACUGAUUUAGACCUGGGACACCAGAUGUGUGCAAUUAAUUAUCAAGUAGAAGAGAAAAUACCCCUGCUAUAGGGAAUAUUUCUGCCAUUUGGGACACAGUCAUUUUAGUAAAUAAACACUUUUAACACUUUCUUCUUAAAACUGGUUGAGGGCUUGAAAAGCAUUUCACUGUAAGAUCUACACCUGGUGUAUUGGACAAUGGUCUCAAAUAACAUUUGAUUUUCUCCUGGUCAAGGAAAAACCUCCUGUCCCUUCUACUAUUGCCAUAUGAAGCAUUUCAGCACUUUGCAGAAAUCAUUAGGCAUGUGUCGGAUUCAUUCAGCUCUGUUAAUUGCACUGAAGCGGGAGAAGGGAGGAAGGAAAGAAGGUUCUGUCCCAAAUGACAUGUCUAUUCCUUAUUUACUGCACUACUUUUCACCAGAGCCCCAUGGACCCCUGUUCUAAAAGUAGGAACGUUAGAUAGGAAAUAGGAUGCACUUUUGGGAGCAGUCUUAAAUGAAUCCCUGGGGAUGGUUGACUUUUAGAGAAGAUUCUAUUGCAGCUCUGAUUGGUUGGUUCAUUCUCAGCCAAGGAUGUAGCUUCUGAUUCAUUGUGCUAAAUCAAGAGAUAGCUGAAAGCUGUCUCUGGACAAGUGAUUGGUUGAUUGAGUGACUGGGUCUGGACAGCCAAUAAUAAUUAUAUACCCUCCAUAUCCAAGUCAAUGUACAUGCAAUGGCAAAGCACCACAAAGUCAACAAUUUUUUUUAAUUUUUUUUUUAAAGAAGAAACAAAAAAAGUCUUCUCCAUUUUGAAUUAGCUGGUGGCUGCUUGUGGGUAGAUGGGUCGUGCAUUAUGUAGCUGUUUGUGGGUAGAUGGGUCGUGCAUUAUGUAGCCGUUUGUGGGUAGAUGGGUCGUGCAUUAUGUGGCUGUUUGUGGGUAGAUGGGUCGUGCCAACGUGGAAGUUCAAGUUGAGCAGACCAUUCAGCAGGGCACAACAGUUUAGAACAGUAAGAUAGAAAUAUGCUAUGUAGAACAAACAUGCCUCUAAAAUGUAGAAUGAAUCACGUUGGCUCCUCUAUCUGCAACGUUUAGCUACUGAACGUGGCCCUGUAUUGGCCUGGGCUCGGAGCUUUUCCAGACCAUAUUACCCGACUAAGGAAAAACUCAGGGACCUACUAAUGUGCAAUGCAGUCUGUUCUCAGCCUAAAAUUACACUUGUUGGCUCUGCCUUUCUCUAAUCAAACCCAUGUGUGGACUGGCGGUCCUGCAGUUGCAUCAGCGUGAGGUCUGAACAGUGAAAACAACACAUUCAAAUGGAAGAACAUCAUUAUUCACUUUAGACGGAUCACCAUGAUAGAAUAAAAUACUUUUUUUUUUUUUUUUGACGAUUAAAUUAUUCCUCUGUUCUGACUCAAUCCCAGUUUUUUUUUUUUUUUUUUUUGUGCAAAAGCAGUAAAGAAUGCCACUUGUUUAGAGAAACCACGGCAAGUCAUGGAACUAGAAGAUAAGGAGAAAAAAAAAAACAUCAACAGUAUUUUGCACUACAAACGUGCACAUUCAAGAAAAGAAAAGAUUAUGAUCACCAACUCAAAAUAUGUUUAAUCAACCUCAAGUCUUUAGUUGGUCAGGAUUGGCACUUCAGUGAAUAGGAGUGCAUUUUCAUUUUUCACAAUUAGAAAUAUAUAUUUAAUCCACCGAUUUGUAUAAUAUCUUACUAUUCUGGUAGUCUUUGUUGAUAGACUGCACACAAAAGUACACCCGAAAAAACAAAACAAAAACAAAGACUACUAAUAUAUAAAUGCUUCUUCACAUGUUAGUGAUGUUUCAUUCUUUUCUGGAUUUAUUUCGUCUCAAAUGUCUGGUUUUUUUUUGGGGGGGGGGGGUCACUUGUUCUGUGGACAACCAUUUCCCUUUAGACAACCAUGGUGUACAGAAUCCUAAAAUAGCCUGUAGUCUAUGACCAUUACCCGCUGCUCUAUGUCAGAUCAAUGCCAAGCUUAGUCUCUUAACAAAUUUGAAUACAUUUUGCAUGUCAACCAAAGCACAACGUGUCCAAAACCACUGCAGACCACGAGUCACCGUCACUGCAAACCAUGAAUCAUCCUCAUCAUUGCAGACCAUGAAUCAUCCUCAUCAUUGCAGACCAUAAAUCAUCCUCAUCCUGAUUGCAGACCAUAAAUCAUCCUCAUCCUCAUUGCAGACCAUGAAUCAUCCUCCUCAUUGCAGACCAUGAAUCAUCCUCAUUAUUGCAGACCAUAAAUCAUCCUCAUUAUUGCAGACCAUAAAUCAUCCUCAUCAUUGCAGACCAUAAAUCAUCCUCAUCAUUGCAGACCAUAAAUCAUCCUCAUCAUUGCAGACCAUAAAUCAUCCUCAUCAUUGCAGACCAUAAAUCAUCCUCAUCAUUGCAGACCAUAAAUCAUCCUCAUCAUUGCAGACCAUAAAUCAUCCUCAUCAUUGCAGACCAUAAAUCAUCCUCAUCAUUGCAGACCAUAAAUCAUCCUCAUCAUUGCAGACCAUAAAUCAUCCUCAUCAUUGCAGACCAUAAAUCAUCCUCAUCAUUGCAGACCAUAAAUCAUCCUCAUCAUUGCAGACCAUAAAUCAUCCUCAUCAUUGCAGACCAUAAAUCAUCCUCAUCAUUGCAGACCAUAAAUCAUCCUCAUCAUUGCAGACCAUAAAUCAUCCUCAUCCUCAUCAUUGCAGACCAUAAAUCAUCCUCAUCAUUGCAGACCAUAAAUCAUCCUCAUCAUUGCAGACCAUAAAUCAUCCUCAUCAUUGCAGACCAUAAAUCAUCCUCAUCAUUGCAGACCAUAAAUCAUCCUCAUCAUUGCAGACCAUAAAUCAUCCUCAUCAUUGCAGACCAUAAAUCAUCCUCAUCAUUGCAGACCAUAAAUCAUCCUCAUCAUUGCAGACCAUGAAUCAUCCUCAUCAUUGCAGACCAUGAAUCAUCCUCAUCAUUGCAGACCAUGAAUCAUCCUCAUCAUUGCAGACCAUGAAUCAUCCUCAUCAUUGCAGACCAUGAAUCAUCCUCAUCAUUGCAGACCAUGAAUCAUCCUCAUCAUUGCAGACCAUGAAUCAUCCUCAUCAUUGCAGACCAUGAAUCAUCCUCAUCAUUGCAGACCAUAAAUCAUCCUCAUCAUUGCAGACCAUAAAUCAUCCUCAUCAUUGCAGACCAUAAAUCAUCCUCAUCAUUGCAGACCAUAAAUCAUCCUCAUCAUUGCAGACCAUAAAUCAUCCUCAUCACUGCAGACCAUAAAUCAUCCUCAUCAUUGCAGAC